UACGGAGGGUGCAAGCGUUGCUCGGAAUUAUUGGGCGUAAAGGGUAGGUAGGUGGUCUCAUUUGUCUGGGGUGAAAGCCUUGAGCUUAACUCAAGAAGUGCCCCAGAAACGGUGAGACUGGAGUCCUGGAGAGGGUCGUGGAAUUCCCGGUGUAGCGGUGAAAUGCGUAGAGAUCGGGAGGAACACCAGAGGCGAAAGCGGCGACCUGGACAGGUACUGGCACUCAACUACGAAAGCGUGGGGAGCAAACAGG
rnacentral:rRNA from 1 species